GGACAGCUAGUACUAACUUUUAAUGAAAAAAAUAAUUAUCUUGACUCAAAAAAUCAGAAGACUUUAGUGCACUGUAUUAUUGAGAAAUAUAUUGGCACAAGAUCCAAAUUAACAUACGCAGAAAUGCAGCAAUGGUCUUAUGCUAUCUGUGAUGUAUUUCCUAAAGAAAAACCGGAAACAUACUUUUUGAAACGGAAAGACGGGAAGAAAAAUCCAACAGGAAAAUUAUUUUCUCGUUGGACUAAUGUUGAAAAAGGAAAAUUCGAUGACUAUAGUGGCAGUACUGCGGAGGAAACUUUUAAAGAUUUUGAUAGCGAUAAAUAUUUCGAGCAAAAGUGCUGGCUGCAGCACAAUUGCAGUCCAAGGGAUCAGGUACUUUCAUUCUGGAGGGAAACAAGGAAAAUUAGAAUGGAUGAGAUAAAAAAUGCCAGUUCUUUGACGAAUAUUUUUAAAGAAUGGCCACGAUACAAUGAUUUCUUGGGUUAUGAUCUUGUCGAUAUAGAUUUUGAUUUUUUGUACCCAGACAAAGUAAAUAAGUUAUUCCUAAAGUUGGAAACUUUUUAUAAAAAGUUGGUUAAAGUCUUUGACAAUGAAAUUAAAGACCGUGCAUCAAGAGAAUUUUACCUACACU